UACGUAGGGGCGAGCGUUGUCCGGAUUUAUUGGGCGUAAAGAGCGUGUAGGCGGCCAGGUAGGUCUGCUGUGAAAACUCGAGGCUCAACCUCGAGACGUCGGCGGAAACCAUCUGGCUAGAGUCCGGAAGAGGAGAGUGGAAUUCCUGGUGUAGCGGUGAAAUGCGCAGAUAUCAGGAGGAACACCAAUUGCGAAGGCAGCUCGCUGGGACGUUACUGACGCUGAGACGCGAAAGCGUGGGGAGCAAACAGG
rnacentral:rRNA from 1 species